rfam:Vibrio sp. 2756-81 Vn_2756-81_contig1, whole genome shotgun sequence.
UUAGCUUGGUGGCGCAUCUGGACAAGUUCUUGGUGGGCAAACGUGUACUUUUAAUUCAGGACACUCAUGAUACGAAGCCCGCCUAAACAGCGGGCUUUUUGUU